ensembl:lncRNA
GAGCCAAAGUACUAGAGCUUCAGCAACGGUCCUUCCAAUGAAUUAUAGGGUUGAUUUCCUUUAGGAUUGAUUAAUUUGUUCUCCUAGCAGUCCAAGGGACUCUCAAGAGUCUUCUCCAGCACCACAAUUCAAAAGCAUCAAUUCUUUGGUGCUCAGCCUUCUUUAUGGUCUAACUCUCACAUCUGUACGUGACUACUGGAAAAACCAUAACUUUGACUAUAUUGACUAUAUAGCAAUUUAGUAGAUUUUCUCAAAUAAAUAUUUUUCCGUUUGCUGUGUGCCCUUAAGAAAAUUUCCAGAAACUUCAAAUGGUUGCUUCUUACAUGUUUCAUGGGUUAGAGUUGCAUAGCUGAGGAGAUCAGUGGAGCUCUUCAAAUUGCCAUUUUAGAAGUGUGCCUUCUGUUUUUCUUUAACAGAUGAGAUUUGCACUAAGGUCAAGACCCAGGAGAGACCCUUAGGAGAGGAACUCUGCCAAAUCAGGAGACUUGAAGAGGAAUCUAAGGCCAGAGGCCACCAGGACUAACCUACAGAGUUGUGAAGACUGUGUAUUCUCCUCACCAAGCUAUGUGCCCAUGGAGCCCAUGGAGCUUGUCAAUUCAGAAGAAGUAGCAUAUUUGCCUAACAUGUCCAGAGACUCACGACUCACCCAAAAAGAAACAUGAGACAUUCAAGUUGAAAAGCUUAGUGAAGAAGAUCUUACAAACAAGAGUGCCUGGCACAUAAGGAAGUGCCCCCAGGAAUUCUAAAGUCAUCAGGAGACCCGCACAGAUCUGAGAACAGCCUCCCACCCUCAUCCCCUGCCUCACCCCCUGUAUUUUUCCAUCUCCCCAGCCCUCCUGUUUUCUGCAUUUUUAAAAACGUCUUUAUAUUUAUUCUAGCAGUAGCCUGCCAUACAAUAAAAGAAUGGGGGGAAAUCUCAUUAAAAU